ensembl:lncRNA
CUUUUUUAUUAGCAUUAAAACCAAAAGGAAUAAAGAGGCAGUUGGGAAGCCACCUGCAAAUCGGCCGCACGCUCGCAGAUCACAAAGGGAGUGCCAUUUUUCCCCCCAACCCCAAUGGUUUUGAAUGUUAAGAUGAACACGCUUUUGUCUACAUCAGCCUUAUUUUCCCCUGUUAUUUCUUCCCAGGCACCUGACUCCGAGAUGCUGAGUGCCUCCAAAGGGGGACAGAGCAUCUCAGUGUUCGGCUCAGCUUGUCAAAAACUGAGAGUUGUGGAUAAAAGUGGUGUUUGUUUUGAAACGGUGCUCCUCCUUCACAUUUUGAGUCUCUUUUGCAGAGGCAGUUUUAAAGGUUAAUGAAUGGAACUGAUCAAAAGUUUUCACCCAGCCUCCAAUAGCAGGCUGACUAUCCUGAGCUAUUAAUCAUUUAUUUUAUGAGCCAACAAAGCAAGCUCAGGGUUACUUACAGCGCUGCGUGCUGCCCUGGUGUACAUGCUGUGCUUCACUUCUCUUUGGAAAACAGCUCUUACGUUACUGCUGUUCUUCAGGGUUGCUGAAAAACCAUCUCCGGGACAGCUUUAUUAUUGAACAAAGGUGAAAGCUCAAUGGGUGAUAUUUGGUUUGGCUGAGGUACGGCGUCUGAUCCUUUCAGUUAAGGAGAGGGGAAUUCUGAAAGGAAAACUGCACAACUUUGGUAUCAGUGCUGCAAGACUUCCUUGCUCUGGUAGGGAAUUUUAAGCUCUAAACCCAGCCAGGUGGGAGCAGAAGGGAGGGGAUGGUCUCUGCCUCCCAGAGCAGACUGAGAGCAGCUGUUCAGGACCCCCCAAUCACCCUGCAUCCCAUUGGGAGCUGCCUGGUGCCAGUGUGGCACCAGUAACCACUACAGGUACCUCUCUGAGAAGGAACUGGUAUGACGAAACCCAUUUGCACUGCGUCAGCACAAAUCUGACCUUUGGAAAACAUCCCAAGCCGUGCGCUGCUCCCUAUUUGCCAGGCGGUGUUUGUCCACAUCAUGCCAACCUGAGCUUCCAUUUUCUGUUGCUGGUUUUGCAAUCCAGCAGAUAAGGAGAGAAAGCCAGGAGCAAUGCCAUCCAGCGUCAUGUCUGUCUGCUGCUGUUAAUACUUUGGGGGUGCUAAUCUUGCAUUCUCAACCUGUAUGUUCACACCAGAUUGCUGGAGGAGAUCACUUUCUUUCUUUACUUAGAAUUUUCAUCUCUUUCCCUUCCUUGAGAGUCUGGCAGUGGGGAGGGGGGAAACAACUUAAAUGCUUUGUAAUGUAGGGAUUGUUGCCUUUGCUUUUGGUCUCGCUGUAUCUAUUUUUGGGUCCAUAACUCCUGUGUAACCCAGGAGCUGCAUCUCAGCUGGUCAAACUGGGGCUGGGAUGGACAGCUGGCAACGUGUGCAAACUGGAUGCACUCAGGGUGAACUGGAACGAACAUGGCUGGCUCUUGCAUUGCAGCCUGACAAGUCAGUGUGGGCUGAUGUGGUUAGAGGGCAAACUGCUCCUUGGUGCCUUACAGCCUAUCAUUAACACGUGCAGGUGCUCUCAGAGAGCGUGCAACUGUUCAAAAGGACACGAGCCCGCGUGUGCCUCUCCCAUUAGCUAAGGAACAGAAGUACACAUGCAAAUGAUUUGAGUGCUGCUUCAAAGCCGAGCGCUACGGAGGAGAUAUGUGGUAGAGGUGAAGCUCUGAGCUGGUGCCUCACCCACCCUCUGGCUUUGGAGUGCUUGUGGCUGCACUGUGCACCUGCUGGGAAGUGAGCUUGGGCUGGGCAAAGUCACAGAGUCCAAGCAUACUGCUGUGUGAAGCCUAAAGCACAGAAGGAGAAGAGGUUUUUCCCCCAAACGUGCUCCUGGAUGGCUCUGGGUCUCUGCAGAAGACAUCCUGCUCUAUUCUUCCCUUGUAAGCCAGUGCCCCGGGCUGAAGGCAGUCAGAGAGCCUGGUGGGAUGGAGCAGCUUUCAGCAGCUCACUUGGGAGGCAGGCAGUGACUCGCUCUGGCUUACAGGGGCUGGACAAGGCUGUCUCGGUUUGGUGGGUGAGCAGCUUCCACGCCCCUGCUGCCCUCAGCCUGGGACUGCGGGUUGAUACUGAGUUUCAAUAUUGGAUACCACUGUAAGAGAGAAGGAAGUAAAGCAGCCGAACUUGCUCUGUCCAGCAUCCAAGGCAAUAGCUGGUGUCCUGGGGGCAAAAUUGCUGCUGUAGUGUUCUGUAUAAGAAUGCAAUGAAAGGAACAGUUCCUAGCUUUGGAAGCAGGAUCCGGUUGUGCCAUCUCCCACAUGGAUGUAGCCAUGCUGGAGCAACAGCUUGGCACAGUCUGUAUGGUGAACUGCUGGAAGCCAGACCGAGCUGCAGAUGCUAACAGCACAGGGAUGCUGCAGCCUGAAUCCGACAUGCAGAACCUGUAUCCUCAUUCAGCUGCACACACAAGGGACGAGUAAGACUUGUGAGCACCUCCCAUGUCUGGACAGCCCCUCCAGCCUCCCCCAGCACAAGGUGCUGACCCUGCAGCAGAGCAGGAAGCUGGUCUGGCCCACACAAGGCUCUCCCAACCAAAAAUGGUUCACCUUUAGGAGCAAUGAAUGAGAACAUUGCUAAACCCAAAACAUUGUUCCAACAGGAAGGAAGCCAGGACAGGGAUGAGGGCUCGGGUCCCUCUGUGGGAAUCCAAAGCAGCAGCCUGGGGACGCUGAAUGUGUCCCAGCAGCAAGCCAGGGGCAGUGCUGCAAUAAAACCCUUCCUGAGGUCAGGGCAGUGAUAGUUUGAGUCCAGCCCUGUGCCCUGAGCAGAUUUGCAUCCUCCCAGCUCCCCUGCGUGCUCCCACCACCAGGAGAUGACCGUGUGUGACCUUAGAGACCCACAGGCUGUCCAUAAUCAUGACCACAGUGGGAUAACUUUAGCCAAGUCUGCAGCUUGCAGAGCCCUCUGACCCCCCAGCCCAGAAGGAGCUGCAGUGCAGUGUUGGCAGCUAUCAGGGCUCAGCACCCGGUGGCAGCUUAUCACAGCCCGCAGCUGUGCCAGGUGGGAUUCAUCCGCGUGCGGGAAAAGCCCCCGUUCACCCCAGCAUUUGUUGCAAUGACGGUUUUGCCUUUCAUUUGUCUUUGCAUCUGCCCUUUUCCAGUGCCACGAGAGCUGAAAGCCUCGGAGAAUUAGAACGGGGGAGGGGAGGGGCCCAGCCCGCUCCCCCUGCAUAAACUGCCACAUGAAUGAGGGAGGGGGGAAUAAAACAAACCCCGGGCUGCAGGCCGCGUGCCCCCAG